rnacentral:rRNA from 1 species
AUAUCAGUCAUGCAUAGCAUAUCAAUAAGCGGAGGAAAAGAAACUAACUAGGAUUCCCUUAGUAACGGCGAGUGAAGCGGGAAGAGCUCAAAUUUGAAAUCUUCAAGGUUCUACCUUGACGAAUUGUAGUUUAUAGAAGUGUUUUCUGUUAGUAGAGUGGCAAAAGUUCUUUGGAAUAGGACAUCAUAGAGGGUGAGAAUCCCGUAUUUGGUCAUUCUCCUAGCGUUGUGAUACACUUUCAACGAGUCGGAUUGUUUGGGAAUGCAGUCCAAAACUGGGUGGUAAAUUUCAUCUAAAGCUAAAUAUUGGCGAGAGACCGAUAGCGAACAAGUACCGUGAGGGAAAGAUGAAAAGAACUUUGAAAAGAGAGUUAAACAGUACGUGAAAUUGUCAAAAGGGAAGCGUUUGACACCAGUGUUGUUUUUCCGAAAAUCAAUUACGAAUGUUUUGUUUUUGAGGAGUUAUGACUUCAUCGGCUUGCUCCUUUCUUUAUGAAACUUUCUUAAUGCACUUUUCGGUUAACAAGUCAACAUCAAUUUCUUUUGUUGUAAAAGGGUAUGAGGAAGGUGGCUUUCUUUUCGGAGAAAGUGUUUAUAGCCUUGUGCCUCUGCAAUCGGAGAGAUUGAGGUCUGCAGCGUAGAUCCUUCGGAGUUAGAUACAGUUUGUGCUAAGCUAUAGCCUUUUCAUAGACAACUUGUUGACUAUGCUCAGUCAUGUAGCUUACUCGCUGAUGCUAUUUUACCUACGCUUAGGAUGUUGAUGUGAUACUGCGAGCA